GCGCAUGUGGCGUAAUGGUAGCCGCGUUAGAUUUAGGAUCUAAUGUCUCAGGACGUAUGGGUUCGAGUCCCUUCAUGCGCA
rnacentral:tRNA from 1 species